rnacentral:rRNA from 1 species
UUUUAUUUGAGAGUUUGAUCCUGGCUCAGGAUGAACGCUGGCGGCGUGCCUAACACAUGCAAGUUGAGCGAUUUACUUCGUAAAGAGCGGCGGACGGGUGAGUAACGCGUGGGUAACCUACCCUGUACACACGGAUAACAUACCGAAAGGUAUGCUAAUACGGGAUAAUAUAUUUGAGAGGCAUCUCUUGAAUAUCAAAGG